CAGUAAGUACGAAUCGGCCUUAGGUUCCCUGCCUCAAGACCCUAUUCUCCUGCCUCACUUUUAGCUAAGGGUUAUUACAAAAGAGUCAGAAAGUUAAGACAAAAUAUGAAAGUUUAUAAAGUAAAAAGAGUUACAGUGAGCUAAGUAUAACUUAUUGAAAACAUUUUUUUAAUUUAGUAUAGCCUAACUGUGUUUAUACAGUCUACAGUAGUAUACAGUAAUAUCCUAGACCUCCACAUUCCCUCGCCACUCACUCACUCACUCACCGACUCACUCAGAGCAACAUCCAGUCCUGGAAGCUCCAUUCACAGGAAGCUAUUGGAAGAGAUGCUCAAAGAAGAAAAAAUUACCAUAAUCCAAUAAAGAAGAAGACCUGAGAUCCAGGAAGCAGAUGAUCUGAACUGCAGAGAAAGUUCAGGAAAGUUCCCUCAUUCAUGAUGAUGGGAAAUAACAGUAAAUUCUGUACAGCAGUCUUGGACAACAACCAAUCUAAACUGGCACAGUGCAGAGGCAAUCAACAGAGAACAUAAUAUUGAUAGAAUGCCUGACGCUUUUGAUUGUAUUCACAGGAAACAUAAACAAUUGGAAGACAGUUUAUGAAUGAAUUAGUGAUAAGCAUUUUUUUUCAACUUUUAUUUUAGAUUCAAGGGUACAUGUGCAGGUUUGGUGCCUGGGUAUACUGGGUGAUGCUGAGGUUUGUGUUACAAAUGAUCCCAUCAUCCAGGUACUGAGCAUGGUAUCCAGUAGUUAGUUUUUAACCCUUCUCCUGUCUCUCUCCUGGUGGUCCCCAGUUUCUACUGUUGCCAUCUUUAUGUCCAUGAGUAUACAAUGUUUAGCUCCCACUUGUGAGAACAUGCGUAUUUGCCUAUUUAAUUAUUUGUUUAUUUGUUGAGACAUAGUUUCACUCUCUAGCCCGAUCUUGGCUCACUGCAACCUACGCUUCCUGUGUUCAAGCGAUUCUCUUGCCUCGGCCUCCCCAGUAGCUGAGAUUACAGGCACCUACUACCAUGCCUGACUAAUUUUUGUAUUUUAAUAGAGAUAGGGUUGCACCCUGUUGGCCAGGCUGGUUUCAAAUUCCUGAUCUCAAGCGAUCCACUCACCUUGGCCUCCCAAACGGCUGGGAUUACAGGCUUGAGCCACCACGCCCAGCCACUAUUUGCUUUUCUAUUCCUGCAUUAAUUUGCUUAGGAUAAUAGCCCUCAACUUCAUCCAUUUUGCUGCAAAGAAAAUAAUUUUGUUCUUUUUUAGGGCUGCAUAGUAUUCCAUGGUGUAUAUGUACCACAUUUGUUUUAUUUAAUCCACUGUUGAUGGACACCUGGGUUUAUUCUAUGCCUUUGCUACUACAAAUAGGGCUGUGAUGAACAUGCAAAGGCAUGUGUCUCCUUGAGAUAAAUAUUUUAAAAAUACAAUAAAAUCAAAAAAAUUAAUGUCAGGGCUAACAUACAGUUAUUAGAAAAAAAAAUAUUUUGUUAUUAUAGAUAGACACUAGCUUUAACAUAAUAAUAGUUAUGUAAGUAGUCGAAGUUCAUAUGAUCAAAAUUAUUAUUUAGCUGUUUUAAAAGAAUGCAGAUAUAAGAGAUAUACCAUUAAUGGUGAAUAGUUCCAGUAAAAGCAAGCUAAGCUCUCUUUCACAUUCCAUAGAGGGAAUUUAAUAAGCCCUGAAACCGAAAGUUCAAGAAGGAAAAGUGCAAGUCCUACAUGAAUUGAUCAAUGAUUGCCUCUGGAAAUUAUUGGUGUGAAUGGGGAGGCAAAAUUGCUAGUUUGGUUAAUAAGCUAUGUAACUGUUUGAUAAUUCUUCACUUGCAUGUAAACUUCGGUACAAAUAAAAGCUAAUGAAAACAGAGACAGAAUUAUUAAAUCAUCAUAACAUAAAGUUAACAUUUUUCAUCAUUUUUCACUUGUUCAAAGAUCAUAAGAAAUUUUCAUCUUAAUUUUCAAGCAUCAACUAAUGUUUCUACUCUCCCUGAGUACCAUAAAAAGCCUUCUGUGGACAGUCUAAGUGACAAUGACACAUUAGAUUUGGCAAAAAUUACUUUCAGAUGUAAAUCAAUUUGAGAAUGAACUGAUGCUCUGAAACCGGAAUUUACUUGUUGCUCAAAUUUGCCCCAAAAUAAAAUAAUUUUCAAUCAUAGGAGAAUUCACAGGGCCCAGCUCUCCAUUGGUGUUCCAAUCUAUUCUCUGACCUCUAUGCUGUACACAAGAAUCCUCAAUGGUUUUUCUGGAACCCAAGACAGAAAUAAUAUCCCAAAUGAUGCUUGCUCUAAGAGUAUCACUCACCCAGGGGGUUUACCCCCUGCAACUUUCCCUUUUACCAGUUUUGCUACAGAUUUUUAUGAACUUAGUUCCCCAGUCACCAGGGCCACAGAUGUUUGAAAUACUUUUCUGUCUUUUUUUUUAAGUGAUAAACAACUGAAUUCCUAUUCACUUUUACUCCACGAGUGACUUUACAAUACAUUAAAAAAAGAUAAACUGUCAGUAUUCUUUUCUUUAAAAACUGUAAAAUGCCUUUCCACUUAUUUCUUAUACUAUGUUGUCUCUCAGAUAAUACAUUGAUGCAAUUUUGGAUAAUGUUUUAAUGAAGAAGUUGACAGUAAUGCACAUUAAUUAAAAUAUGUAAAAAUC
rnacentral:lncRNA from 1 species